ACCGAACCGACCGAAUGCUCUCCCUAGAUUUAGGAGCUAGCUAGUAUGGGAAAGAAGAAAAUUGAUGAACAGUUAAUUACUUAAUUAUAUAAUGAGAAGGAAAAAAACUACAAAUUUCAGAGAAAGGAGAAAGAAAGAAUAUCAGGGGUGGCGCACAUGGUGGAAAGCUUGAAUUUAUGUAUGCCCAUACACACAAAAAUAUAUAUAUAUAUAUAUGUAAGGAAUGAAAGUGAUUAAUUAAGGUAGUUGUGAAAAUUUAUAAUGGAAAUUAGGGUUUUGAGGUGUGAAACUUGGAUUUAGCUUAUGAAAUUGUGAAAGAACAUUAUAAGGGUCAAUUAGUGACCAUUUUAGGUAUGUUGACCAUAAUUAGAACUUAAAAAUAGAAUGGCAAAGUGAAAGUAAAAUUCUGCCCUAUGGACAGCAGCAUAGGGACUGAAAUUGGCCAUAACUGUUCAUUUGGCCAUAACUCACUGUAGAUAUGGUCAAUUGACCUGAAAUUUUUACAGCAACAAGUUAAGACAUAGACAAACAACUUUCAUGAAGGAACCUACCCCAAAUUAUGGCCAGAACCCAUUCAACCAAGUGACUCAAGUCACUGUUCAUGCACUGUAGAUAUGGUAAAAUUCUGCAGACUGCAUAUCCGGGCAGCUUGGGUUUUUGAGCCAUAUCUGGAGUUACAAAACUCCAAAUGGAGUGAUUAAAAAAGGGAAUUAAACUAGACACAUUAAGGAACAACUUUAAUGAAGGAAGUUUAGCCAAAUUUCCACUGUAAAAAAGUCAAAUGGAACAGUAAACCCAAGUAACCAAAACUGAAAUUUUGGAAUUUCUCUUAGGGAAUUUUGAAUUUCAAUUGGCAACUAAUGUCAAUACAAUUGUGACCCAAAAUGUGGUAUGUUGGUGUAAUUAGAACAGUGUUAUUAAAGGCGUGACAGGCGCCCAGGCGAGGCGAGGCGC
rnacentral:misc_RNA from 1 species